GGACGAACGCUGGCGGCAUGCCUAACACAUGCAAGUCGAACGGAGUAAUGACUUCGGUUAUACUUAGUGGCGAACGGGUGAGUAACACGUGAAUAAUCUGCCCUGUACGAUGGGAUAACAGCUGGAAACGGCUGCUAAUACCGUAUAUGACCACGCCGAGGCAUCUCGGAGGGUGAAAGCGCUUAAGCGGUACAGGAUGAGUUCGCGUCCAAUUAGCUAGUUGGUGAGGUAACGGCCCACCAAGGCGACGAUUGGUAGCCGACCUGAGAGGGUGAUCGGCCACACUGGAACUGAGACACGGUCCAGACUCCUACGGGAGGCAGCAGUGGGGAAUAUUGGGCAAUGGAGGAAACUCUUUAACCCCCCAGCAAUGCCGCGUGAGUGAUGAAGGUCUUCGGAUUGUAAAGCUCUUUGAUUGGGGACGAAUAAAUGACGGUACCCAAGGAACAAGCCCCGGCUAACUAUGUGCCAGCCGCUGC
rnacentral:rRNA from 1 species